rnacentral:rRNA from 1 species
UACGUAGGGUGCAAGCGUUGUCCGGAAUUACUGGGCGUAAAGAGCUCGUAGGUGGUUUGUCGCGUUGUCCGUGAAAACUCACAACUCAAUUGUGGGCGUGCGGGCGAUACGGGCAGACUGGAGUACUGCAGGGGAGACUGGAAUUCCUGGUGUAGCGGUGAAAUGCGCAGAUAUCAGGAGGAACACCGGUGGCGAAGGCGGGUCUCUGGGCCGAUACUGACGCUGAGGAGCGAAAGCGUGGGGAGCGAACAGG